AUUGAACGCUGGCGGCAGGCCUAACACAUGCGAGUCGAGCGGAUGAAGGGAGCUUGCUCCUGGAUUCAGCGGCGGACGGGUGAGUAAUGCCUAGGAAUCUGCCUGGUAGUGGGGGAUAACGUCCGGAAACGGGCGCUAAUACCGCAUACGUCCUGAGGGAGAAAGUGGGGGAUCUUCGGACCUCACGCUAUCAGAUGAGCCUAGGUCGGAUUGGCUAGUUGGUGGGGUAAAGGCCUACCAAGGCGACGAUCCGUAACUGGUCUGAGAGGAUGAUCAGUCACACUGGAACUGAGACACGGUCCAGACUCCUACGGGAGGCAGCAGUGGGGAAUAUUGGACAAUGGGCGAAAGCCUGAUCCAGCCAUGCCGCGUGUGUGAAGAAGGUCUUCGGAUUGUAAAGCACUUUAAGUUGGGAGGAAGGGCAGUAAGUUAAUACCUUGCUGUUUUGACGUUACCAACAGAAUAAGCACCGGCUAACUUCGUG
rnacentral:rRNA from 1 species